rnacentral:lncRNA from 1 species
CAACCUGCUGGGGUUCCCUUCCACACUGCGGAAGCUUUGUUCUUUCGCUCUUUGCAAUAAAUCUUGCUACUGCUCACUCUUUGGGUCCACGCUGCUUUUAUGAGCUGUAACACUCACCGCGAAGAUCUGCAGCUUCACUCCUGAGCCCAGGGAGACCACGAGCCCACCGGGAGGAACGAACAACCCCAGACGCGCGGCCUUAAGAGCUGUAACACUCACCGCGAAGGUCUGCAGCUUCACUCCUGAGCCAGCGAGACCACGAACCCACCAGAAGGAAGAAACUCCGAACACAUCUGAACAUCAGAAGGGACAGACUCCAGACGCGCCACCUUAAGAGCUGUAACACUCACGGCGAGGGUCCGCGGCUUCAUUCUUGAAGUCAGUGAGACCAAGAACCCACCAAUUCUGGACACACAAUGAGAUAAUAACAUAAGUUUGAAAACUGCAAUUGGGCCUACUAAGGAACCAUGAUAGUGUUUGGUACAUAGAGGACACUGGAAAUGGUUUUCUUAACUGAACAAGUGACUAGAAUAAAGGAAUUAAUGAACGACAUCAGAGCUGAAAUCCCAAACCAUAAAUCAUAAAAGGAUCAGACAGCAAAGAGUACUCAAAAGCUGAUUUAUUGAGAUCCUGAUGAGUUUGAAGUAACUAGAAACUUGAUCAAGACCCUGACUAAUAUAAGAUGAUUUUUUAAAACUGGAAUCUCAGUGGAUUCGUCUCAACACGGCCAGAUGGAUGAUUCUUCCAGGGACUAAUGAACUUGUUAGAAUUUCGGAUAACAUUUGGUUGUCAAAAAAAAAAAAAGAGCAUAAAAAGUAAUAGACCAUAACUGAGAUGGGUGGGGCUUAUUCUAGAUAAGAUAGUCAAGGACUGACAUAUGGGAAGAAGGCUACCUUCUGUGAAGGCAUCAGCCAUUGAGGAUGCUACUUCUGUAGCAUCUGGAGCAAAAUAUUCCAGGCAAAGGGAAUAAGAAGUGACUCUAAAAUAAUCAAUAAUAUGGAAAUUGUACAGCAGAAGUUGAAAGAUUAGAGAGGCAGAAGUUCAGUGAGAAAAAAAAAAAGUAGAAUAGAUAAGGUCAAAGGCUUAAGCCAUAGCAUAUCAGACAGGCUAAUGUUGACCAUUAAAGAAAGUUCCAAAUUCUAAGAGUAAUAGGAGGCUAUUAGAUGUAUUUAAUUAAGAAAGGAUGUGCACUGAUGAGCAUCUUAAACAGAUAGCUUGCUGCUAUUUAGAGAACAGAUUGCAAGAGGGAAAGACCAGCAGUACAAAUAUUGGCUAGUCUGCUACUUCUAUAGUACAAGUGAAGGAUGAUGAUAAAAAGAGGACAUUCGUGGUGGAGUAGGGGUUUUUUAAUUUUAUUUUGAUGAUGGAGCUACAAGAGUUUCUGAUGAUAAUAUAUGUGUGGUUAGAAAAUAAAGUCUUAAUCAACUGGGCACAUGAUGAUCCCAUUUCCAGAAAUAGGAAAGAUUGGGGGAAAAUAGAUUGGAUGGGAGGAAAAAAAAUCAGAAGUUAUAUUUCAGUUAUGUUAAUUUUUAUGUUAAUUUGGUUAUGAUAAGUUUUACUAAAUCAGACAAGAAUAGAAGGAAUCAAUGAUGUGUCUUUGCUACAUCUGAAAGAACUGAUUGGCAUAGAAACUAGAAGAGAUUCCAGAAGAAAUCUAUUUAGGGAAUCUUAAAUGGACUAAAGUUAAGACUAAAAAAAAUUCUGUAUUUCAGUUGACGGAAACUGUGCAUCCCUCCAGCAAUUCUGGAAACCACACGGAGCACGUUGCCUACUGUACAUAAUUCUGGUUUAAGGGGGCCAGAGAGGUGGGAGUGGUGUGGAGCAGGUAGUGUAAGAAUCACUGCAGCUUCCUAUUAAUAAUAAAAAUGUGCAAGACAAUAAACACGGCUGCUAUACCAAAGAAAAGCAGAUUUCUACUCAGAAGAAAAUUCUCUGAGUGACUGCCUCUAUCUGUACCUCUUUCCUGUAACCCUAUAGCCUUCCAACUUACUGAACUACAAUAUAAAACUGUAGGAAACAAUCAGCUUUACUAUAAAGCUAUAGUAAAGUUUUGUUCAGUUUUUUUUCUGAAUUCAUAGAAGGCUAUUGAUUCAGAAUCCAUAGCCACGCCUGUCACAUCAUUUUGCCUGUUUUCAUUUAGAAUCCUUUCCCUACAAAUUUCAAAAGUGUCCUUAGUGUUUUAAAUACUGUUCUUUGCACCUUAUGUUUCAAGUAUUAAGCACUUUUCUCACCUGCAUUUCCGAGCUGAAUUCACCAGCUGGACGCCAUUCCAGUCCACUUAUAACCCAGGCUUAGAAUACCCUCAUAUUCAGGGAAAGGGCAGUUGUCAUAUAACCUGUGACUCUCACCUUCGAUGAUUUUGUGAUCUGUGCUACUGCCUGUAGCCUAGUAUGCAUUAUAACUAAGCUGCUAAGCUAUAUUCUGUUGUUUUUUACUCCUACCAAUGAAGUUGACUAUGUAUUUCCAGUAAAGAAAAAGUUCAUUUUAAAAUCCACACACUAGCCGACUGGGUGCGGUGGCUCACGCCUGUAAUCCCAGUACU